AUGAACGCUGGCGGCGUGCCUAAUACAUGCAAGUCGAGCGAACAGACGAGGAGCUUGCUCCUCUGACGUUAGCGGCGGACGGGUGAGUAACACGUGGAUAACCUACCUAUAAGACUGGGAUAACUUCGGGAAACCGGGGCUAAUACCGGAUAAUAUAUUGAACCGCAUGGUUCAAUAGUGAAAGACGGUUUUGCUGUCACUUAUAGAUGGAUCCGCGCCGCAUUAGCUAGUUGGUAAGGUAACGGCUUACCAAGGCAACGAUGCGUAGCCGACCUGAGAGGGUGAUCGGCCACACUGGAACUGAGACACGGUCCAGACUCCUACGGGAGGCAGCAGUAGGGAAUCUUCCGCAGAGGGCGAAAGCCUGACGGAGCAACGCCGCGUGAGUGAUGAAGGUCUUCGGAUCGUAAAACUCUGUUAUUAGGGAAGAACAAAUGUGUAAGUAACUAUGCACGUCUUGACGGUACCUAAUCAGAAAGCCACGGCUAACUACGUG
rnacentral:rRNA from 1 species